AGGUGAUCUCGCCGUGACAUCUGUCACUCCUUUAAUCACCAGAGGUGACUACUGAUUUGACUGGCUAACUGGUGUUCUCUUCUCCCUUAUUGCAUUCUUCCAGAAGCCAAGCAGUUAGUCAAUAGGAUGACCCUCUCCUGUAAAGGAAGACCAUUCCUCUGUCAAAGGUAGCUGCACUCCACUGCUAGAAAACCCAAACAAGCUCUCAAGGUCCAUUUGCAAGAGAACAUACAGUAGUCAACCAUCCAAGACUCCAGACACAUCCAAGUGAGGUACUGCAUGUGACUGUCUGCCUUACUUU
rnacentral:snRNA from 1 species